rnacentral:rRNA from 1 species
UGGGGAAUUUUGGACAAUGGGGGAAACCCCUGAUCCAGCCAUCCCCGCGUGUGCGAUGAAGGCCUUCGGGUUGUAAAGCACUUUUGGCAGGAAAGAACGUCGCGGGUUAAUACCCCCGAAACUGACGGUACCUGCAGAAUAAGCACCGGCUAACUACGUGCCAGCAGCCGCGGUAAUACGUAGGGUGCAAGCGUUAAUCGGAAUUACUGGGCGUAAAGCGUGCGCAGGCGGUUCGGAAAAGAAAGAUGUGAAAUCCCCAGAGCUUAACUUUGGAACUGCAUUUUUAACUACCGGGCUAGAGUGUGUCAGAGGGGAGGUGGAAUUCCCGUGUAGCAGUGAAAUGCGUAGAUAUGCGGAGGAACACCCGAUGGCGAAGGCAGCCUCCUGGGAUAACACUGACGCUCAUGCACGAAAG